UACGAGUGGUGCAAACGUUAUUCGGAAUCACUGGGCUUAAAGGGUGCGUAGGCUGCGAUGAAGGUCUGGUGUGAAAUACCACGGCUCAACCGUGGAACGGCAUUGGAAACCACAUCGCUGGAGUGAGACAGAGGUAAGCGGAACUGAUGGUGGAGCGGUGAAAUGCGUUGAUAUCAUCAGGAACACCGGUGGCGAAAGCGGCUUACUGGGUCUUUACUGACGCUGAUGCACGAAAGCUAGGGGAGCAAACGGG
rnacentral:rRNA from 1 species